rnacentral:rRNA from 1 species
CCUACGGGAGACUGCAGUGAGGAAUAUUGGUCAAUGGCCGGAAGGCUGAACCAGCCAAGCCGCGUGAAGGACGAAGGUGCCAAGCAUUUUAAACUUCUUUUGUCAAGGGACAAAAUCAGGCUCGAGAGCCUGACCGAGGGUACUUGAAGAAAAAGCAUCGGCUAACUCCGUGCCAGCAGCCGCGGUAAUACGGAGGAUGCGAGCGUUAUCCGGAUUUAUUGGGUUGAAAGGGUGCGUAGGCGUACUGUUAAGUCAGCGGUAAAAGGCCGGGGCUCAAACCCGGCGAGCCGUUGAAACUGGCUGUGUUGAGAGUUCGUGAGGUAUGCGGAAUGCGGAGUGUAGCGGUGAAAUGCUUAGAGAUUGCGAAGAACUCCGAUGGCGAAGGCAGCAUACCGGCGGCGAUCUGACGCUGAGGCACGAAAGCGUGGGUAUCGAACAGGAUUAGAUACCCCAGUAGUC